GCUGCCGUAACUCAAGUGGCAAGAGUUCCGGUCUUAUAAACCGGCGGCUGCCUGUUCGAAUCAGGCCGGCAGUA
rnacentral:tRNA from 1 species